CCCCCUUGAAGGAGCCACAUGGAAACCCUUUUAACCUCUACUCUCUUUUUAAAAAGCAGGUGGAAAAUUCCGGGUAAAAGGAAGGGCUUUCCGUUCCAGUUAGGUGGAAGGAAAGGCUCCCACAGCAAAGGCCCCUAGUUUGUUGGGAGAGUUUUCCCCCCCUGGGAAUUGGACCCGGUCCAGAUCUCUGCGGGAGCCACCAGGGGGAAUUUGCCCAAAUGGGGGAACCCCUGAUCCACCACCCCCGCGUGGAGGAUGACGCAUUUCGGGUGUUAAACUCCUUUUAAUAUCCCAAGAUAAUGCCGGUAGGAUAUGAAUAACACCGGCUAAUUCCGUGCCAGCAGCCGCGGUAAUACGGAGGGUGCAAGCGUUAUUCGGAAUCACUGGGCGUAAAGGAUGCGUAGGCGGAUGAUCAAGUUGAAAGUGAAAUCCUAUGGCUUAACCAUAGAACUGCUUUCAAAACUGGUUAUCUAGAAUAUGGAAGAGGCAGAUGGAAUUAGUGGUGUAGGGGUAAAAUCCGUAGAGAUCACUAGGAAUACCGAUUGCGAAGGCGAUCUGCUGGGACAUUAUUGACGCUGAGGCAUGAAAGCGUGGGGAGCAAACAGGAUUAGAUACCCUGGUAGUCCACGCCCUAAACGAUGUACACUAGUUGUUGCUAUGCUCGUCAUAGCAGUAAUACAGUUAACACAUUAAGUGUACCGCCUGGGGAGUACGGUCGCAAGAUUAAAACUCAAAGGAAUAGACGGGGACCCGCACAAGCGGUGGAGCAUGUGGUUUAAUUCGAAGAUACGCGAAGAACCUUACCUGGACUUGAUAUCCUUAGAAUCACUUAGAGAUAAGUGAGUGCUAGUUUACUAGAACUAAGUGACAGGUGCUGCACGGCUGUCGUCAGCUCGUGUCGUGAGAUGUUGGGUUAAGUCCCGCAACGAGCGCAACCCUCGUGAUUAGUUGCUAACAGUUCGGCUGAGCACUCUAAUCAGACUGCCUUCGUAAGGAGGAGGAAGGUGAGGACGACGUCAAGUCAUCAUGGCCCUUAUGUCCAGGGCUACACACGUGCUACAAUGGUUGGGACAAAGAGCAGCGAUACCGCGAGGUGGAGCAAAUCUUAAAACCCAAUCUCAGUUCGGAUAGGAGUCUGCAACUCGACUCCUUGAAGCUGGAAUCGCUAGUAAUCGUAGAUCAGCAAUGCUACGGUGAAUACGUUCCCGGGUCUUGUACUCACCGCCCGUCACACCAUGGGAGUUGAUUUCGCUCGAAGCCGGAAUACUAAAUUAGUUACCGUCCACAGCGGAAUUAGCGACUGGGGUGAAGUCGUAACAAGGUACC
rnacentral:rRNA from 1 species